UACGUAGGCAGCGAGCGUUGUUCGGAAUUACUGGGCGUAAAGAGUGUGUAGGCGGUGCUCCAAGUCUGGGGUGAAAUCUCCCGGCUCAACUGGGAGGGUGCGCCGGAAACUGGAAUGCUAGAGGGUGGGAGAGGUAAGCGGAAUUCCUGGUGUAGCGGUGAAAUGCGUAGAUAUCAGGAGGAACACCUGUGGUGUAGACAGCUUACUGGACCACUUCUGACGCUGAGACACGAAAGCGUGGGUAGCAAACAGG
rnacentral:rRNA from 1 species